rnacentral:lncRNA from 1 species
CUACAUCUAUAAGGAUAUAAUUUUUCUAAAGAAUAAAUAACUUUAAAACUCAAACACUCGAAGAAAAAUUAGAAUUUUAGAGAAAGUAAAUUCUUAUAAAUAAAAAAAUAGAAAAAUUAUAAUUCUUGAUCCUGCCGGUUGACCUAGCGUAAAAGCGUUGCCUCGUCACGAACGUCCUCACUAGCUUGACUCCACGUGGCUCUCAAGUUCGCACCACAGAAAAUCUCUCUGAGAACCUGAAAACACAAGGUGGCGCCUCUGCGGCCGGUGGCGCUCCGACGCUCAAGUCAGUAACAAGAACACCCAAAAACUCAAAGAAAAUAUGCCAUGUAGAACCGUACUAAAGGCAUACAACCCUAGCAAAAUGAGCCGUAAUGAAAACGUACCUCUGCAAAUUCUGUUAAGUUUACCUUUAUAGUUAGGUUUCUUCUCUCUCCAGGCCGUUAUGCUUUUGGACGCGUGGCUCGCAUCUAGCCCUGCACGUGUUGACAUCUGGGCUGGGACAGCAGGUAGCGCCCAGCCCUACACGUGUCAUCAUCUCAGCUAGGAUAGCUUGAGCGUC